GGCUUUCGGAGCUAACGCGUUAAGUAGACCGCCUGGGGAGUACGGUCGCAAGAUUAAAACUCAAAUGAAUUGACGGGGGCCCGCACAAGCGGGGGAGCAUGUGGUUUAAUUCGAUGCAACGCGAAAAACCUUACCUACUCUUGACAUCCAAAAAACUUUCCAAAAAUGGAUUGGUGCCUUCGGGAACUCUGAAACAGGUGCUGCAUGGCUGUCCUCAGCUCGUG
rnacentral:rRNA from 1 species